rnacentral:rRNA from 1 species
GGAGUUUGGGCCGUGUCUCAGUCCCAAUGUGGCCGAUCACCCUCUCAGGUCGGCUACUGAUCGUCGCUUUGGUAGGCCGUUACCCUGCCAACUGGCUAAUCAGACGCGGGUCCAUCUCACAUCACCGGAGUUUUUACCUCUGCACCAUGCGGUGCCGUGGUCUUAUGCGGUAUUAGCGAUCGUUUCCAAUCGUUAUCCCCCAAUGUGAGGCAGGUUACCCACGCGUUACUCACCCGUCCGCCACUCAAUUCUUCCUUCAUUUGGCCGAAGCCGCAUUCCAAAAGAACUUCGUUCGACUUGCAUGUGUUAAGCACGCCGCCAGCGUUCAUC